UACGAAGGGGGCUAGCGUUGUUCGGAAUUACUGGGCGUAAAGCGCGCGUAGGCGGUGAUCUUUGUCAGAGGUGAAAGCCCGGGGCUCAACUCCGGAAUUGCCUUUGAAACGGGAUCGCUAGAGUCCGAGAGAGGAUGGCGGAAUUCCUAGUGUAGAGGUGAAAUUCGUAGAUAUUCGGAAGAACACCAGUGGCGAAGGCGACUUACUGGACACAUAUUGACGCUGAGGUGCGAAAGCGUGGGGAGCAAACAGG
rnacentral:rRNA from 1 species